UUUAGAAUUUGAUCAAGUUUGAACAUGAUUGUGAUUUGACUCUAGUUUUAUAUGCUAGAGAAUCAAAUAUUUUGGGAAUUGGGAUGUUCAUGAAAAUUGAAUUUGAGUUUAGUUUAACGACAUUUCGGUCGAUAUCGGAUUUAGGUUUAGUUUAACGACGUUUCGGUCGAUUGAUUUGGUGGAUUAGUUUAACGACGUUUCGGUCGAAGGUUUGGGUUUGGUUCACAAGGUUUAUGGUAUUGGGUAUAUGGGAUUAUGGUUCAUGAACUUAGAUAUGGUUCAUGGGUUUAUGGUUCAUGGACUUAUGGUUUAUGGGUUUGGUUCAUGGGCUUAUGGUUCAUGAACUUGUGGUAUGGUUCAUGGGUUUAUGAACUUGUGGUUCAUGGGCUUAUGGUUCAUGAACUUGAUUCAUAGUUUGUGGAUUUGGUGUAUGGUAUGGUCCACAGGAUUUGGUAUAUGGUUUGGUCCAUGGUUUUAGUUCAAAGUUCAUGGACUUGGUUAAGGUUAUGGGCUUGGAUAUGGGUUAAAUGUGUAUGGGUUUAUGGGUAAAUGUAUAUGGGUUUAUGUAUAUGGGUUUAUGGGUUAAUGGUUUUAAUGAGUUUUGGAUAAUGGGCUUAGAUAGUAGGCCUAAAUGGGUUUUGGACCGGGGCCAUUUGUAAAUGGGCUCUGGGCUUUGGACUAGGCCUAGAUUUAAUUGGAUUGGGUUAUAGUAUAUGGGUUUAGAAUUGGGCUAAGGUUUAAUUGGAUUGGGUUAUAGGUUUGGGUUUUGUAGAUUGGCUAUUGGGUUUGAUUUGAG
rnacentral:lncRNA from 1 species